GCCUUGCUGUAGCAGCAUGUAAAUAUUGGAGUCACCACUGCUGAAGCCUCCAGUAUUGACGGUGCUGUUGAAGCAAAGC
rnacentral:pre_miRNA from 1 species